rnacentral:rRNA from 1 species
AGAGUUUGAUCAUGGCUCAGAUUGAACGCUGGCGGCAGGCCUAACACAUGCAAGUCGAACGGUAACAGGAAGCAGCUUGCUGCUUCGCUGACGAGUGGCGGACGGGUGAGUAAUGUCUGGGAAACUGCCUGAUGGAGGGGGAUAACUACUGGAAACGGUGGCUAAUACCGCAUAACGUCGCAAGACCAAAGAGGGGGACCUUCGGGCCUCUUGCCAUCAGAUGUGCCCAGAUGGGAUUAGCUAGUUGGUGAGGUAACGGCUCACCAAGGCGACGAUCCCUAGCUGGUCUGAGAGGAUGACCAGCCACACUGGAACUGAGACACGGUCCAGACUCCUACGGGAGGCAGCAGUGGGGAAUAUUGCACAAUGGGCGCAAGCCUGAUGCAGCCAUGCCGCGUGUAUGAAGAAGGCCUUCGGGUUGUAAAGUACUUUCAGCGGGGAGGAAGGUGUUGUGGUUAAUAACCACAGCAAUUGACGUUACCCGCAGAAGAAGCACCGGCUAACUCCGUGCCAGCAGCCGCGGUAAUACGGAGGGUGCAAGCGUUAAUCGGAAUUACUGGGCGUAAAGCGCACGCAGGCGGUCUGUCAAGUCGGAUGUGAAAUCCCCGGGCUCAACCUGGGAACUGCAUUCGAAACUGGCAGGCUUGAGUCUUGUAGAGGGGGGUAGAAUUCCAGGUGUAGCGGUGAAAUGCGUAGAGAUCUGGAGGAAUACCGGUGGCGAAGGCGGCCCCCUGGACAAAGACUGACGCUCAGGUGCGAAAGCGUGGGGAGCAAACAGGAUUAGAUACCCUGGUAGUCCACGCCGUAAACGAUGUCUACUUGGAGGUUGUGCCCUUGAGGCGUGGCUUCCGGAGCUAACGCGUUAAGUAGACCGCCUGGGGAGUACGGCCGCAAGGUUAAAACUCAAAUGAAUUGACGGGGGCCCGCACAAGCGGUGGAGCAUGUGGUUUAAUUCGAUGCAACGCGAAGAACCUUACCUGGUCUUGACAUCCACGGAAGUUUUCAGAGAUGAGAAUGUGCCUUCGGGAACCGUGAGACAGGUGCUGCAUGGCUGUCGUCAGCUCGUGUUGUGAAAUGUUGGGUUAAGUCCCGCAACGAGCGCAACCCUUAUCCUUUGUUGCCAGCGGUUAGGCCGGGAACUCAAAGGAGACUGCCAGUGAUAAACUGGAGGAAGGUGGGGAUGACGUCAAGUCAUCAUGGCCCUUACGACCAGGGCUACACACGUGCUACAAUGGCGCAUACAAAGAGAAGCGACCUCGCGAGAGCAAGCGGACCUCAUAAAGUGCGUCGUAGUCCGGAUUGGAGUCUGCAACUCGACUCCAUGAAGUCGGAAUCGCUAGUAAUCGUGGAUCAGAAUGCCACGGUGAAUACGUUCCCGGGCCUUGUACACACCGCCCGUCACACCAUGGGAGUGGGUUGCAAAAGAAGUAGGUAGCUUAACCUUCGGGAGGGCGCUUACCACUUUGUGAUUCAUGACUGGGGUGAAGUCGUAACAAGGUAACCGUAGGGGAACCUGCGGUUGGAUCACCUCCUU